UACACUUGACCAGGGUAAAUUUCUUUAACCAUUGAUUAAUUCUUCGUAUUCCGUUUCGUCUCAUCUCGUCUUCUCGUUUUAGUUUCGGUCUCGUCUAGUCGGAAGGUGAGGAGUGGCACGAUAGAGAAAGAAAGUGACAAAUGAUUUUUACUUGGGCACAUUUCAUACAUUUUUGUCUUCACGUAUUUCGCAAUCUCUUUAUUGGUAUAAAUUUCGUUAAAAGUAUUUAUUCUCUUCGAUACACAAAUUUAUUUCCAGAACGCUGGAACUUUAACCGGAUGGAAACUAACGUUUUUAAAGUCAUUACCAACACUUAAACACAUCAAUAAAAACAACUAUGAACUAUAGAAAAUACCAUAGACUUUAGUGCUCACCCUUGAUCAAAAACGAAAUCGUGUGAUGUGUUGCAAGGACUGUUUUAAACUGUUCCAGAAGAAUCCACAGUACUUUAAGCGUCGUUUCAUCACUAUGGAGGAAAGAUAGAUACAUCACUGUACUACUGAAACCAAACAAUAACAUAAA
rnacentral:lncRNA from 1 species